AUGAAUUUUAGAGAAUUCAUGAGAAUUGUUGUUGUCGUACCAGAGCUCCCAAAAGCUAUUGUGCUGAAGGAUACUUUCAAUGCUAUGAGUGAUAUCAAAGACCACCAAAUCCACACGGAUGAGCUACCAAAAACAUUGAUUGCUAUGGGUAUCAAUUUGAUGCCAGAGGAGCUCGAACAACUGAAGGACUCGAUUACAGUCUCAGGAGAUGGAACAGUGGGUUUUAAAGACGUCAUGAUGGCUAUGACUGGCGUCCAGUCUUUUGCAGAAUUUCAUGCUUUACAGAAUGCUUUCGAUGUGAUGAACAAGACUUGCAAAGAGAAGAUUAAAAAAGAAGACUUACCACUCAUUCUGGAAAGCUUGGGGAUCCAACUCUCCCCUGAAGAACUUCAGGCAACUCUGUCAUUAGUUUCUAUUGAUGGUAAGGUUUGAAUUAAAUAAUUCCAACAUGGUCACUAAUCUACAUUCAAAAUAAAAUUUAAAAAGAAAAAUUACAUAAUUGCAUUUUUUCAUCUAACUCUCCGUCUAAUGUUCUAGUCAUUGUUAUGUGCCAUCAAGCUGUGUUUGAGUUAUGGCAACCUGACUGGGAGACUUCAAGUGUCUUACAAUCUUAAGGCUGUGACUUCUUUAAGGCCCCUUCCACACAGCUGAAUAAAAUCCCACAUUAUCUGCUUUGAACUAGAAUAUAUGGCAGUGUUGAUUCCAGUUCAAAGUAGAUAUUGUGGGAUUUUCUUCCUUGAUAUUUUGGGUUACAUGGCUGUGUGGAAGGCCCUAAGUCAUUUGACAUGUUUCUUCUCUUUUCAUACUAUCUUCCACUUUUUCCAGAAAAACUGUCUUUUCAAAUGAGUCAUGUUUUCUCAUAAUAUGUUCAAACUAUAUUUUGGAUAUCAUCAGAACGUCCCAUAGGAAUUCAGGCUUGUUUUACUCUCUUGUCUUUUGGGAGUCCAAACUAUAUUAUAAAACUCUUCUAGCAUCACAUAUGAUAUGAUGACUUAUCUCCAACAGUUUACGUCUUUGUCCAGCUUUCAAAUCUCUACAUUGAAAUCAGGAAUACAAUAAAGCUGCUCUCUUUUAGUUUCAGAUUUUACUAUAACAGAGGCCCCUUCCAUACAGCUGUAUAAAAGCCCACAUUAUCUGUUUUGAAUUGGGUUAUAUAGCAGUGUGGAUUCAGAUAAUCCAGUUAAAAGUAGGUGUUGUGGGAUUUUCUGCCUUGAUGUUCUGGGUUAUGUGGCAGUUUGGAAAACCCCUUAGAAAAUCAAACCAUGAUGGAUCUAUGUCUGUUUUUAUUGCAUGUCUCUAUAGUACUCUACAAAAUAACUUGUACAUAUGAAUAUGUAAUUAAAAGCAAGGUUAUGCAAACCGAGCCUGGUCUUAAGUACGUCUGUUGUGUGGGACAAAAAUGGCAUGAAAUUAGCAACACUGUUAAGGAACAACCUAAUUCAUAGACAGGAGCAUAUAAUACCAAUGCUAGCUGGAUCUUCCAUUUCAAUGAAACAGAUUUUGGAUAGGUCUGGAGGCACUAUAAAAAGUCUGCAUCUAUUUGUGGGGUUGGGUUCAGCUCCUUCUAUAGGUCUUUAGUUCUAAUUAAAAUUUAGGGCAAAUUCUCUACCCCAUUGGAACAGGAACCACAAGACAUUCCUGUCUGAUUCUGCAGAAUUGUUGUGGUUAAACAGAGGUGGACUUGAUUAGUGAAAUGGAUGUGGGCCCUCUUAUAUGUGCAAGUAGAAGGAAAAUAAAUAAAGAAGUAAAAUGUGAUAUACUAUUUAAGAAUCUAAACCUCAUUUUUGAAAGGAUGGACAUCAAAUCCCCCCUCCCCAAGAAUGCAAUCAAUAUCAUACAUUGGGUUUCUGUGAGUCUUCCAGGCUGUAUGACCAUGUUCCAGAAGCAUUCUCUGAUGACGUUUCACCCACAUCUAUGGCAGGCAUCCUCAGAGGCUUUGAGGUCUGUUGGCAACUAGUAUUUAAAAACUCUAAAAUCAGGACAGUAAAUAAAGAACAACACUCAGAAAAGUGAGGAAUUCCAGAAAAGAAACAAUCAGAGACAGCUAACACCUCUCAACAAAGGAUUGCCCCAGGCAGGAAACAGCCAGGCUUUGAAGUUCCAAGGCCAUUCAGUGCUAAUUAAGGUGGCCAAUUGCAAUAUGCACACUUGCCUCAAACAGACAAGAGUUCUUUCCCCCACCCUGGACCUUCCACAGAUAUAUAAACCCCACUUGCAGAGCCGGCCCUAGGUAUUUUUCAAGUGUAGGCGAACAGAAUUUUGGCGCCACCCCCCCCCCCCAAAAAACCCAAUCACUGAAAAAUAAAAGCGUUGGAUAAGCAAAAAUGUUGGAUAAUAAGGAGGGAUUGAGAAAAAGCCUAUUAAACAUCAAAUUACAUUAAGAUUUUACAAAUUAAGCACCAAAACAUCAUGUUUUACAACAAAUCAACAGAAAAAGCAGUUUCGACUGCGCCCCCAUAUGUUUUGCGCCCCAAGCAACCGCUUAAUUAGCCUCAUUGUUGGACCGGCUCUGCCCACUUGCCUAGUUUCCAACAGACCUCACAACAUCUGAGAAUGUCUGCCGUAGAUGUGGGUGAAACAUCAGGAGAUAAUGCUUCUGGAACAUGGCCAUACAGCCUCACAGCAACCCAGUGAUUCAGGCCAUGAAAGCCUUCGACAACACAGUAUCAUACAUUUCUCUUCAGGAUGUGCCUGGACUAUAAAUUACAACAUCUUUGCUGGGAAUAGCUUAUACAGUGUCAGUUUCCCUUGGAUAAGUAGUUCCAGAACAUGUUGCUUUUCUAAUAACUAGUUGCACUUGCAACUACUACAGGUGUACCCUACCCUUUCCCCUGCUCAGUAGUACAUUUCCUUUACCUUUAAGCAGGAGAAUGAAUGGGAGGGAACUGUAGCAACCUGGUUGUCUUUUAGCCAUCUUAGAGGUAUUCAGAGUUUUGUUUUCAGAUUUGUGCCAAUCCUUGCCUACAUUGUAUGACAAACACAAUAUUAGUUGCCAUGCAACCUUAAUAGAUAAUGUAUGUAUUUAAGAUACAGGAUUAUUUACAUGUAUUCUUUCAUUAUUCCUCAUGGUUUGCUGAAGAAUCUGGGAAACUGGAUGGGACAGAAGUCUUGACAAUUUUGUCCAGUGCUCCACGCUUUUCUAAACUCAGAGGUGAGCAUCUAAAGUGUUAGGGAAGAGAAUUCCCCCCCCCCCCCAAAAAAAAACACACACAGCACAGAGAAC
ensembl:lncRNA